AGAGUUUGAUUAUGGCUCAGGAUGAACGCUGGCGGCGUGCCUAAUACAUGCAAGUCGAACGAGGUGGAAGGGAGCUUGCUCCUGGAUACCGAGUGGCGAACGGGUGAGUAACACGUAGGUAACCUGCCCUUAAGCUUGGGAUACCCAGAGGAAACUUUGGCUAAUACCGGAUAACAACAGAGGAGGCACCUCCUUUGCUUGAAAGGCCCUUCAAAGGGUCACUUAAGGAUGGACCUGCGGCGCAUUAGCUAGUUGGUGAGAUAAAAGCCCACCAAGGCGAGGAUGCGUAGCCGACCUGAGAGGGUGAUCGGCCACAUUGGAACUGAGACACGGUCCAAACUCCUACGGGAGGCAGCAGUAAGGAGUUUUCGGCAAUGGGGGAAACCCUGACCGAGCAACGCCGCGUGAGUGAUGACGGCCCUAUGGGUUGUAAAGCUCUGUUGUAAGGGACGAACGAUCGUUUAGGAAAUGAAACGGUUCUGACAGUACCUUACCAGAAAGCCACGGCUAACUACGUGCCAGCCGCCGC
rnacentral:rRNA from 1 species